UACGGAGGGUGCAAGCGUUAAUCGGAAUUACUGGGCGUAAAGCGCACGCAGGCGGUCUGUCAAGUCGGAUGUGAAAUCCCCGGGCUCAACCUGGGAACUGCAUUCGAAACUGGCAGGCUAGAGUCUUGUAGAGGGGGGUAGAAUUUCAGGUGUAGCGGUGAAAUGCGUAGAGAUCUGGAGGAAUACCGGUGGCGAAGGCGGCCCCCUGGACAAAGACUGACGCUCAGGUGCGAAAGCGUGGGGAGCAAACAGGAUUAGAUACCCUGGUAGUCCACGCCGUAAACGAUGUCGAUUUGGAGGUUGUGCCCUUGAGGCGUGGCUUCCGGAGCUAACGCGUUAAAUCGACCGCCUGGGGAGUACGGCCGCAAGGUUAAAACUCAAAUGAAUUGACGGGGGCCCGCACAAGCGGUGGAGCAUGUGGUUUAAUUCGAUGCAACGCGAAGAACCUUACCUGGUCUUGACAUCCACAGAACUUAGCAGAGAUGCUUUGGUGCCUUCGGGAACUGUGAGACAGGUGCUGCAUGGCUGUCGUCAGCUCGUGUUGUGAAAUGUUGGGUUAAGUCCCGCAACGAGCGCAACCCUUAUCCUUUGUUGCCAGCGGUCCGGCCGGGAACUCAAAGGAGACUGCCAGUGAUAAACUGGAGGAAGGUGGGGAUGACGUCAAGUCAUCAUGGCCCUUACGACCAGGGCUACACACGUGCUACAAUGGCAUAUACAAAGAGAAGCGACCUCGCGAGAGCAAGCGGACCUCAUAAAGUAUGUCGUAGUCCGGAUUGGAGUCUGCAACUCGACUCCAUGAAGUCGGAAUCGCUAGUAAUCGUAGAUCAGAAUGCUACGGUGAAUACGUUCCCGGGCCUUGUACACACCGCCCGUCACACCAUGGGAGUGGGUUGCAAAAGAAGUAGGUAGCUUAACCUUCGGGAGGGCGCUUACCACUUUGUGAUUCAUGACUGGGGUGAAGUCGUAACAAGGUAACCGUA
rnacentral:rRNA from 1 species